rnacentral:antisense_RNA from 1 species
GAACACAAAAUGGCGACACGUGGUUAGCAUUCGUCGCCAACGAGAAAUUGGGGUCGGCCCGAAAGCUCUAGAAUGCACCCCCCUUCUUCCCCGGGGCCUUCCACCUCCGCGAGUUUUAUGACUUAAAAAACCCCACAGGCUGGUCUGAAGAGGAAGACAAACAUAAAGAUGAAGUGCUUAAUUCAAGGUCACACAAUGUCGGGGAUGGACCUCCAGAUUUCCUUACUGGAAAACAAGCUCAGGGCUCCCACUGAUUGUACAUUAUGGUGAGACGUGGUCUUGUAACACAGUGGUUAAGAAUGUGACUUUGGAGCCAGCCUGCUAGGGGCUGAAUUCUGACUCAGCCAUUUACUAACUGUGUGACCUUAGGUCACAGAAUUUUCCACACUCCUUGACGGAGGUGCUUAACCCUUAUCCAUCAGCAUUCUCAGACAGCACCUCCGGUUAGGGACAGUAUCUGACCGUCCGACAUCCCUGCAGCCCCCAUGUGUCACACAGACUCAGCCUCAGGUAGAUGGUUUCCGUAGAUGGUGGCUUUCUUUGGACCCUUGACAUCAACCAGUU